UCCCCCCUCCUGAAGGAGGCGGGUCAGGAUAUCCAGGAGGCGCCGAUGGACGUCCCGGCCUUGUCCGCGGCCCACGCCGUCGGACUCGGAACAUUCCUGCACGGCCCGCUGAAGCUCCACCUGCUCCGAGCCACCAGAGGCAGAGAACAAUGUGGGAGAACUUUAGGCGGCAAAGAAGGCGUCAGACGCACACUGACCUGCAGGGGGAGCCCUGCUUUGGCGCCCAGCAGCGUGGGAGAGAACCACAGCCUGAAGAUCUUCUCACAAAUCACCUAGCGAAGAAGAGAAGGAAAUCUUAGUAACACCCCGACUUCUUCUUCCUGUUUGGAGGUUUUGUUUUCAUUCCACACGUCUGCCUUCAUCACUUCAAGCACCGCCAUGGCGGCCAAGGUCAAAGUUCACAAGAAAAGGUUGGAGUUGGAGCGAUGGCGGCUGCAGCGUCUUUUCAUCAGGUUGCACGAGGACGAGCAGUCGAAGAAGUUGCAGUCGUCGUCGCUGCUGCAGUUCUGGUCCAGAAUGUCCUCCAUCUUGGGCUCGAAGAAGGCCAUGUCCACGUCGAUGGCCACCACCUGCUCAACAUUCAGAGCGUGAAGGUGCUGCCGAGAACAAGUAACGAUGGUGGACUCUGUGCGUGAAGUCGUUGUCAAAGUGGUGCACCAUGUCCAGGAAGCUGAGAGCGAUGCGGUGGACCUUCUGCCGGGCACUCCACGCCGCCAGGCUUCCGGACCCGACCACCUCCUCCAGAGAGAAGAUGUUCUGGUCCCAGGCGUGGCCCGCAGACAGGUACUCCACGGCGUAGAAAUGCCCGCAGGAACCCAACACCUUGGCCACGUGUGUGCUGAGGUCCUGCAGGACU